rnacentral:rRNA from 1 species
GAUGAACGCUGGCGGCGUGCUUAACACAUGCAAGUCGAACGUGAAGAAGCAGCAAUGCUUCUGAAAGUGGCGGACGGGUGAGUAACACGUGGGUGACCUGCCUUGCAGAGGGGGAUAACGAGGGGAAACCUUCGUUAAUACCGCAUAGGCUUACACUGAUGGGAAUGGUGUGGGUAAAACUGAGGUGCUGCAAGAGGGGCCUGCGUCCGAUUAGCUAGUUGGCGGGGUAACGGCCCACCAAGACGAUGAUCAUUAGGGGAACUGAGAGGUUGAUCCCCCACACUGGCACUGAGAUACGGGCCAGACUCCUACGGGAGGCAGCAGUAGGGAAUAUUGGACAAUGGGUGCAAGCCUGAUCCAGCCAUGCCGCGUGCAGGAAGAAAGCCUCUGGUUGUAAACUGCUUUUGCCAGGGGAGUAAAAACAACUUUGCGAAGUGGAUUGAAGGUACCUGGU